rnacentral:rRNA from 1 species
GUAAUCGGGCUGAAGUCGUACCGUAAGGAGCGGUGGACUGAUUACGAGUGAGAAUGUUGGCAUUAGUAGCGAGAUGUAGGUGAGAAUCCUACAGGCCGAAUAUCUAAGGUUUCCUGAGUAAAGUUUGUCUUCUCAGGGUUAGUCGGGACCUAAGGCGAGGCCGAGAGGCGUAGUCGAUGGACAAUUGGUUGAUAUUCCAAUACCACUAUAAUCGUUAUUAUCGAUGGUGUGACGGAGAAGGAUAGGAUGUGCCAGCUAUUGGAUGCUGGUCUAAGCGUUGAGGGAGUUAGAACAGGCAAAUCCGUUCUAACAAUCCUAGGGCGUGAUGGGGAAGGUUCUACGGAACCGAAGUAUCUGAUUUCAUGCUUCCAAGAAAAGCAUCUAGAAAGAGAAGUAGUGCCCGUACCGCAAACCGACACAGGUAGAUGAGGAGAGAAUCCUAAGGCCGACGGAAGAAUCACAGUUAAGGAACUAGGCAAAUUGACCCCGUAACUUCGGGAGAAGGGGUGCCUACCAAUUGGUAGGCCGCAGAGAAUAGGCACAAGCAACUGUUUAACAAAAACACAGGUCUCUGCUAAAGCGUAAGCUGAUGUAUAGGGGCUGACGCCUGCCCGGUGCUGGAAGGUUAAGGGGAACACUUAGCGCAAGCGAAGGUGUGAACUUAAGCCCCAGUAAACGGCGGCCGUAACUAUAACGGUCCUAAGGUAGCGAAAUUCCUUGUCAGGUAAGUUCUGACCCGCACGAAUGGCGUAAUGACUUGUGCACUGUCUCAACUGUGAAUCCGGCGAAGUUGUAGUGCGAGUGAAGAUGCUCGCUACCCGCGAUUGGACGGAAAGACCCCGUAGAGCUUUACUGUAGCUUAGCAUUGAAUUUCGGUAUUGUCUGUACAGGAUAGGUGGGAGACUGGGAAAUUAGGGCGUCAGCCUUAAUGGAGUCGUUGUUGGGAUACCACCCUGAUAGUAUUGAAGUUCUAACUGGAUGCCAUGAAACUGGUGACAGGACAUUGUUAGGUGGGCAGUUUGACUGGGGCGGUCGCCUCCUAAAAUGUAACGGAGGCGCCCAAAGGUUCCCUCAGAACGGUCGGAAAUCGUUCGUAGAGUGUAAAGGCAUAAGGGAGCCUGACUGCGAGACCUACAAGUCGAGCAGGGACGAAAGUCGGGCUUAGUGAUCCGGUGGUACCUCGUGGGAGGGCCAUCGCUCAACGGAUAAAAGCUACCUCGGGGAUAACAGGCUGAUCUCCCCCAAGAGUUCACAUCGACGGGGAGGUUUGGCACCUCGAUGUCGGCUCGUCGCAUCCUGGGGCUGAAGUAGGUCCCAAGGGUUGGGCUGUUCGCCCAUUAAAGCGGCACGCGAGCUGGGUUCAGAACGUCGUGAGACAGUUCGGUCCCUAUCCGUCGCGGGCGUAGGAAAUUUGAGAGGAGCUGUCCUUAGUACGAGAGGACCGGGAUGGACUGACCUAUGGUGUACCAGUUGUUUCGCCAGAAGCAUAGCUGGGUAGCUAAGUCGGGAAGGGAUAAACGCUGAAAGCAUCUAAGUGUGAAGCCCACCUCAAGAUGAGAUUUCCCAUAGCAUAAGCUAGUAAGACCCCUUGAAGACUACAAGGUUGAUAGGUCAGAGGUGUAAGUGCGGUAACGUAUUUAGCUGACUGAUACUAAUAGGUCGAGGGCUUGACCAA